rnacentral:rRNA from 1 species
GCUGGCGGCGUGCCUAAUACAUGCAAGUCGAGCGGAAUGAAGAAGAAGCUUGCUUCUUCUGAUUUUAGCGGCGGACGGGUGAGUAAUGCCUGGGAAUAUGCCUUAGUGUGGGGGAUAACUAUUGGAAACGAUAGCUAAUACCGCAUAACGUCUUCGGACCAAAGAGGGGGACCUUCGGGCCUCUCGCGCUAAGAUUAGCCCAGGUGGGAUUAGCUAGUUGGUGAGGUAAAGGCUCACCAAGGCAACGAUCCCUAGCUGGUCUGAGAGGAUGAUCAGCCACACUGGAACUGAGACACGGUCCAGACUCCUACGGGAGGCAGCAGUGGGGAAUAUUGCACAAUGGGGGGAACCCUGAUGCAGCCAUGCCGCGUGUAUGAAGAAGGCCUUCGGGUUGUAAAGUACUUUCAGUCGUGAGGAAGGCAUUGUAGUUAAUAGCUGCAGUGCUUGACGUUAGCGACAGAAGAAGCACCGGCUAACUCCGUG